GGAAGUAAAAGUCGUAACAAGGUCUCCGUUGGUGAACCAGCGGAGGGAUCAUUACUGAGUUGCAAAACUCCCAAACCCACUGUGAACCUACCACUGUUGCUUCGGCGGAUCCGCCCCGGGCGCACCCUUCAGGGGGUGUGCCCCGGAACCAGGCGCCCGCCGGGGGACCGAAACCUCUGUAUCUUCAGUUGAGUUACUCUGAGUGUGAUUUCUAAAAUCAAAAUUAAAACUUUCAACAACGGAUCUCUUGGCUCUAGCAUCGAUGAAGAACGCAGCGAAAUGCGAUAAGUAAUGCGAAUUGCAGAAUUCAGUGAAUCAUCGAAUCUUUGAACGCACAUGGCGCCCGCUAGUAUUCUGGCGGGCAUGCCUGUCUGAGCGUCGUUUCGACCCUCGCCCCCGGCGUCUGUCGGGGGCGGUGUUGGGGAUCGGCCACCACCCUUCACUGGGCGGCCGUCCCCUAAAUUCAGUGGCGACCACGCUGUAGCCUCCCCUGCGUAGUACUAAAACCACCUCGCAGGCGGAGAGCGGUGCGGCCCGCCGUAAAACCCCCCAAACUUUUACAAGGUCGACCUCAGAUCAGGUAGGGAUACCCGCUGAACUUAAGCAUAUCAAUAAGCGGAGGA
rnacentral:rRNA from 1 species